CACAGGGGGGUGUACACCUCUGCGAUAUUAGGAGUAAUAUCAUUGUCUCCCCCUGGAUAUUAGGAACAAUACCAAAGGGGGGCAUCACUGGAUAUUAAGAGAAAUAUCACAAAAGAAGUGUACACCUCCUGUGAUAUUGGGUGUAAUAUGUAGUCCUCAUGAUAUUGGGAAUAAUAUCGUCCCCUUAUUUUUUGAAUUCUAGGAACAGUAUCACAGGAGACGUGUACAUCCUCUGCUAUAUUGGGAGUAAUAUCACCCUCUCCCCCACUGUAUACCAAAAACAAUAUAACAGUGGGGUUGUACACCGCUGUGAUACUGAGAGUAAUAUCAUUCCCUCCCUUACUGGAUAUGCGAAACAAUAUCAAUUACAUUGUUGUUUUGUAUUACAGUGGGAAGUUAUUCCUCUUUCAUUUAAGACCAUUUUCUCCACAUGGUUUUGU
rnacentral:lncRNA from 1 species